AAGUCGUAACAAGGUAUCCGUAGGUGAACCUGCGGAUGGAUCAUUAAAGCAGUGUGGCGCGCCUCUUGAGGCCGCCGCCUACCCACUCUGUGCAACGUACGGUACCCUGCGGGGUUUACCUCAACCCUUGGGUUGGACGGUAGAUCCCGCGAAGGGCAGUCUCCUCACGGAGGCCGUCCGACCGACACGUCUGACUAAAGUCUAAUUAAGAAAACGAAUAAUAUAAACAACUUUUGACAACGGAUCUCUUGGCUCUC
rnacentral:misc_RNA from 1 species